UGGGGAAUAUUGCACAAUGGGGGAAACCCUGAUGCAGCGACGCCGCGUGGAGGAAGAAGGCCUUCGGGUUGUAAACUCCUGUCCGAGGGGACGAUAAUGACGGUACCCUUGGAGGAAGCACCGGCUAACUACGUGCCAGCAGCCGCGGUAAAACGUAGGGUGCAAGCGUUGUCCGGAAUUACUGGGUGUAAAGGGAGCGCAGGCGGAAUGACAAGUUGGGAGUGAAAAGUAUGGGCUCAACCCAUAACCUGCUUUCAAAACUGCCAUUCUUGAGUGGUGUAGAGGUAGGCGGAAUUCCCGGUGUAGCGGUGGAAUGCGUAGAUAUCGGGAGGAACACCAGUGGCGAAGGCGGCCUACUGGGCACUAACUGACGCUGAGGCUCGAAAGCAUGGGUAGCAAACAGG
rnacentral:rRNA from 1 species